ensembl:lncRNA
AGAUACCGAAAGACUGCUCUCAGGUCACCCCGGCACCUUCUCUCAGCUCUCAGCCUGUCCUCAUAGGGGAGGGGUUCCAUUCCCUGGAUCAUCUUGCUUCACUGUAAACCAGUAAUCCAACUCUAUCCACAUCUCCCACCCUCGCAUCCCAUAAUUUUGUUAACUUCUUGGACAUAAAUUAAAAGAAAGUAACUCAACCUUUCCUGGUGGCCUUCCAGAAGACAGUCAUCUCUUCAACAACCUAAAUGGAAGAAAAGAAAAGCUUCUUAUUUUAGUUACAUUUUAAUUACUUUUGUGUGCCACUCACUCCCUCUGCAACCUACCAUUCCUAUUUUUGGGUGGAAUUUUUAUUGCUCCUCUUUUCUACAAAUAAUAGGCUGCCAAUUACAGCAAGGCUAUUUCCUGAAGAUAAUUAGUCACAGUACAAAAUCUCCAUGAAAGCACUUCACAUUUGCAUGGAAAACGUCAGCCAGCUGCAAGACUCAGACCAAGCCAAUUCUUACCUGUCUUAUUUCAAAUGGACAUGGAGCCUUUUGUUGAACAUUACGUUGCUGACCUCAGAACAUCUAUCUAUUCAGUUCUUAAGUCUACUGUCAUACUUGAACUGUUAUUCUCUUUUCUUAGUCUGCUAGCCUUUCAUACAUUUUAUGAUUACAUUUUGAAAAUCAUCAUCUAAUUUGUAACCAGAAGGACUAAAUUGCUCUGAUGCUAGCAAAACCUUUAGAGCAAAACCCCACUGACUUACAUACCAAUAUGGCCUUGAAUUUACAGGAACUAAACUGUGACUAUGAUAAAGCAAAUACCAGCUCCCUUCACAUCAUUCCCCUAGUCUGUUCUUGCAAAUAUGUUGCAGAACCGUUGCAAGUACUUUGGAAAUGAAUAUAAAGUACAUUCAUUGCUACCCCACCCAGAACAAUUUGUACUUUGGAAAAUCAGGGGCGGUGCUACACUGCAUCAUGUUAUCAUCUAAAGCAUCUGGGGCCUCAUCUAUUCCCAACUGGUUCCAGAAGGUAACUGCUAACAAUUUAGAGUGCACUGUAAGCAUCUAUGUUUAAUUAUCAACUUCUUCUUCAAAGAAUGUACCUGAAUUAUUUAUUUAUGUUUUCACAAGCUGACAUUUUGGUUCUUCUGGUCCUUAGUCUUUUGUAUGUCCUUCACAUUACUGCACUCACCUCAAUUAUCACAUUAGUCACAGUACUCUUUCUUUUUAAGAAAGACAAAAGAUAUGUCUUAGCACCCUACUCUACGUUCCAUACCAUCUCUAACAAACUUACCUCCAAUAAAUAUUAGACCUGUCAGUUUCUUUGUCUACUUUACCAAACCAACUUCUGAUAUAUUUAGAGAAUUUAUAAGAAUCCAUUACUUAAUGAUUUUCAUGUAUGUUUUCCUGAAGUAAUUGACUGCUUAUGUUAGGAUUUUUGAUUUUUCUGUUGUCAGCUUGUGCUGUAUGUGUUUUUACUUUAACAUACUUGAAUUUUCAGGUUAUGAAAAGAUCUCACAACUGAAUUAUUGACAGCUAGUUGUUCUUCCUUUCACUUCUGUCCAUCAGGCUUCUUUUUUUUUUUUUUCUUUUUUUCCAAGUAGGUUUGUAUUCUCUCCUGAUUUUUUUUUUUUUUUUUUUUUAGUUUCCUUUCAUAUACUCUAAACUAGCAACUUUGAUUUUGCUGAAACAGGUUUUCUUGCAUCCCUUACGACUAUCUGGUUCUGAUUAUUUACAUUUUUUUAAAGAUACCUAUACAUACAAAGAAUGAGGCUGGAAAAUCACUUUACUCAUUUUGCAAAUAGAACACCUCCAGUGUGAACACCCUAUCUUCUUAGGUGCAAAAUAAUAACAAGUAUCUUGCCACCUGGUUCCUUGAGUUAGUAAAAGCCUCUUUUUUCAUUUUUUUAAUUCACAUGUGUUGGCAUUUAAGAUUAUAAACAUAAAUCAAACAAGCAAAGGCUGAGGAUGUAUAAGAGG